rnacentral:lncRNA from 1 species
CUCUGGCACAUUCCUCGUACUGCCAUAAGAGGAAGCAUCUCAGAAAAUACUUCACUAAAUUUUCACUGGCAGCAAUUUCAAAAAGGGAAUUUCCCCAGACCAGUGCCGUCACAUUUCUCUCAAGAGACUUUGUCGUGGUCUUAUUUUAUCUCUUAUGGAAGUAAAAUUUUGCCAGAAUUACUGUUUGCCUUGUUUUUGGAGUAUCGUUAAGUGGCUCAAUUUAUUGCAUUAUCUUCCCAUUAACACUGUCUAGUAGGGAAGUCAGAAAGCUUGUGACCAGGUUUUCAGUUCAUCAUAUAGUGUUCUUUCCUGAUCUGCUUGUAUUUAAUAAAGGCCCUCAAAAUUUUGUUAAAUGUUAAAUUUGCUACCUGAGGUAUGCAGAAGGAUGGGGGAACUGAAAGUACAGUAGCCUGGGGUAAUGGAAAUCCUCCUGUGCCUGCUUUCUGACCAUAUCACAGGCAGAGUACUUACAUAUGAGCUUAUUAUGGGAAGAAGCUGAAAUUAGACAGCCUUCUGCUACCUGUGGCAGAAAACAGGUUCGAUCUGAGCAGGACCUCUCCAGGCCCCUUCACCCUCGCUUGGGAGAGUUUGUAAGAGAUUUGGAGGGACAUAACAUUUAUUUCCUACUUCCCUGAGCUUCAGUCCAGGCCUUGGAAAAACCCAUCUGACAGUGAGUUUGUUUGUAUAUUUCAAUUUUUUUCCUAAGUACGCUAGGCUCAUUAGCAAGCCUCAGAAAAUGCACGCUUUGUUGAAGUUAAUAUGGGAAAUAAGAUACUGA